rnacentral:rRNA from 1 species
AGUGAACGCUGGCGGUAGGCCUAACACAUGCAAGUCGAACGGCAGCACAGUAAGAGCUUGCUCUUACGGGUGGCGAGUGGCGGACGGGUGAGGAAUACAUCGGAAUCUACUUUUUCGUGGGGGAUAACGUAGGGAAACUUACGCUAAUACCGCAUACGACCUACGGGUGAAAGCAGUGGAUCUUCGGACCUUGCGCGAUUGAAUGAGCCGAUGUCGGAUUAGCUAGUUGGCGGGGUAAAGGCCCACCAAGGCGACGAUCCGUAGCUGGUCUGAGAGGAUGAUCAGCCACACUGGAACUGAGACACGGUCCAGACUCCUACGGGAGGCAGCAGUGGGGAAUAUUGGACAAUGGGCGCAAGCCUGAUCCAGCCAUACCGCGUGGGUGAAGAAGGCCUUCGGGUUGUAAAGCCCUUUUGUUGGGAAAGAAAAGCAGCAGGUUAAUACCCCGCUGCUCUGACGGUACCCAAAGAAUAAGCACCGGCUAACUUCGUG